rnacentral:rRNA from 1 species
UACGUAGGGACCAAGCGUUGUUCGGAUUUACUGGGCGUAAAGGGCGCGUAGGCGGCAAUUCAAGUCAUCUGUGAAAUCUCCGGGCUUAACUCGGAACGGUCAGAUGAUACUGCUUUGCUAGAGUGCGGAAGGGGCAAUCGGAAUUCUCGGUGUAGCGGUGAAAUGCGCAGAUAUCAGGAAGAACACCUAUGGCGAAGGCAGCUCUCUGGGACGGUACUGACGCUGAGACGCGAAAGCGUGGGGAGCGAACAGG